rnacentral:snRNA from 1 species
AUCGCUUCUCGGCCUUUUGGCUAAGAUCAAGUGUAGCAAUUGAAAAGUACUUGCGUUUAUGAGAACUCUCUACAGACGACACCGGUCCUGAAUAUCCGAAAUUUUAUAUUGUAAUUUCGGAACUACAUGUUUUUGGUGCUGGGAUUUUACCGUAUGUUUAGUACUUCCGCAUAACAUUCAAGGAAGGAACUUAC